rnacentral:rRNA from 1 species
AUUGAACGCUGGCGGCAGGCCUAACACAUGCAAGUCGAACGAGUGGCGGACGGGUGAGUAAUGUCUGUGAAACUGCUCGAUGGAGGGGGAUAACUACUGGAAACGGUAGCUAAUACCGCAUACCAUCGGUUCUGCCCCGAUGUGAUUAGCUUGUAGGUGGGGUAACGGCUCACCUAGGCGACGAUCCCUAGCUGGUCUGAGCGGAGGACCAGCCACACUGGAACUGAGACACGGUCCAGACUCCUACGGUAGGCAGCAGUGGGGAAUAUUGCACAAUGGGCGCAAGCCUGAUGCAGCCAUGCCGCGUGUAUGAAGAAGGCCUUCGGGUUGUAAAGUACUUUAAGCGGGGAGGCGUUACCCGCAGAAGAAGCACCGGCUAACUCCGUGCCAGCCGCCGCGGUAAUUC